rnacentral:rRNA from 1 species
GUCUACGGCCAUGCCAUCCUCAACGUGCCCAAUUUCGUCUGAUCUCGGAAGCUAAGCAGGGUCGUGCCUGGUUAGUACUUGGAUAGGAGACCAUCUAGGAACAGGUGCUGUAGGCA